rnacentral:rRNA from 1 species
AAUGAACGCUGGCGGCAGGCCUAAAACAUGCAAGUCGAACGCUGUAGCAAUACAGAGUGGCGCACGGGUGAGUAACAUGUGGGAAUAUGCCUUUUGGUACGGAACAACGUUUGGAAACGAACGCUAAUACCGUAUGGUCCCUUCGGGGUAAAGAUUUAUCGCCAAAAGAUUAGCCCGCACUAGAUUAGCUAGUUGGUGAGGUAAGAGCUCACCAAGGCGACGAUCUAUAGCUGGUCUGAGAGGAUGAUCAGCCACACUGGGACUGAGACACGGCCCAGACUCCUACGGGAGGCAGCAGUUAGGAAUAUUGGACAAUGGGCGCAAGCCUGAUCCAGCCAUGCCGCGUGAGUGAUGAAGGCCUUCGGGUUGUAAAGCUCUUUAGCCGAUGAUUAUAAUGACUGUAGUCGGAAAAUAAGCCCCGGCUAACUUCGUGCCAGCAGCCGCCGUAA